rnacentral:misc_RNA from 1 species
GAGAACGCAGCGAAAUGCGAUACCUGGUGUGAAUUGCAGAAUCCCGCGAACCAUCGAGUCUUUGAACGCAAGUUGCGCCCGAGGCCACCCGGCCGAGGGCACGCCUGCCUGGGCGUCACGCCAAAACACGCUCCCACCCCCCCUCACCGGGGGAGCGGGACGCGGCGUCUGGCCCCCCGUGCCGCGAGGCGCGGUGGGCCGAAGAUCGGGCUGCCGGCGUACCGUGCCGGGCACAGCGCGUGGUGGAUCUCUACUCGGCGCAGUGCACCCGGCGCGUAGCCGGCGCAGCGGCCCCUAAGGACCCAACGAACGGAGCGCGAGCCGCUCCGACCGCGACCCCAGGUCAGGCGGGACUACCCGCUGAGUUUAAGCAUAUCAAUAAGCGGAGGA